rnacentral:rRNA from 1 species
UUGGAGGGCAAGUCUGGUGCCAGCACCCGCGGUAAUUCCGGCUCUAGUAGCGUAUAUUAAAGUUGUUGCAGUUAAAAAGCUCGUAGUCUGACUUCGGGCUGGGCUGUGAAGGUUCACCGCAAGGUGGAACGGAUAGCCUGGUCUUAACCUCUGAUGUGCUCUCUGCUCUUAACUGAGCGGAUCUGUCGCACAGGGGCGUUUACCUUGAGCAAAUUGAGGUGUUCAAGGCAGGCAUAUAUGCUCGAACAAUGUAGCAUGGGAUAAUGAAAUACGGCCUCGGGUUUACUUUUGCUGGUUGGUGAACCCGGGCAAUGAUCAACAGGGGCGGUCGGGGUGCUUCAUAUGCAGGCGCUAGAGGUGAAAUUCUUGGACCGUCCGCAGAUGCCCAGAUGCGAAAGCGUUGCACCAGUACGUCCCCAUUGAUCAAGAACGAAAGUUAAGGGAGCGAAGACGAUCAGAUACCGUCGUAGUCUUAACCCUAAACGAUACCGACCAGGGAUCGAGGACAGUCCCAUGGUUGACUCCUUCGGCGCCUUACGGGAAAC